ACGGACCCGUUACUCCAGAUAGCGUUUUCUAUCACGGCUUCACUGUUGCAAGAUUUGCUGGAUCGUUCGGAACAAAAAGAGAAAACGCAAAAGCAGGUGUACCGGCUGUUACACGUUUGCCUCCAAAUUCCAAACAAAUAGAGGGAGAGAGAGAAGCUGUGUCCAUACGGCAGUGGAGGAGGGACGAUCACAGGUACCCUAACCCUAAAACAAAACCAAUCGAAAGAUGCCGGAGAAGAAGAAGAAGAAGAGGUACGAAUUCGAGUACUGCGUGGUUUGCAAGCUGAAUCACGACCAAGGCCCGAGCCACAAGUACAUACCGAGCCAUACCAAGUCCCUCUCUACCUUCCUCUCUCGGUUCCAGGACAAGCUCUCCGACGUCCGCUUCUUUCUCAAAAACCCUACCCCUCUCCGCCCCGAACUCGCCUCUCGCAAUCGCCUCUGGUGCGUCUUCUGCGACACCGACAUUGACGAGCUAGAUAGCUCCUUCGCUUGUGGUAAUGCAAUUAAUCACCUUGCAAGUGCGGAACAUCUGAAGAAUUUGAAGCAUUUUUUGUGGAAAUAUGGUGGAGGAAUGGAUCGCCUUGAUACAUUUAGAAUAUCGGAAGAUGACCUUGCUAUGUGGGAGAAGAAGUGCAAAUCAUUGAAGAAUGAAGCUGUGCCCUGCGGAGAAAAAUCUCGAGGACCAACGUUUGGACCUUCAAAUGAUAUCCAUAAUGAACUGAAAUAUGGAAUUAUAGAUACUUUUGAAAAUAAUAGUAAUUCAAGUUUUUCAAAUGGUGUUAUGCCUUUACUAUAUCAUACAAAUGAGCAUCAGGUAUCCCAUUCAGGACCCCCUCAAGUUACAAAUGUUGGCUGCUUUCCUCAAGACAUGGCUACCUCUUCUUUACACGGGGAAACAUGUUCUGGUACAUAUUCCAUAAAUUCAAAAGGUUUAACAGUUAGCAGCAGUACCCAACAUUCUUUUAUUUCUAAUGGUAGAAAGUGCUCAGCUGAUGGUUAUUUCAGUAAUGAAAGGAUGAGCGAGGUGUAUCAGCAUGAAAGAAUGACAAAAGGACUGAGCAGUUCUCCGGGUUUUCAGAAUCUCACACAAAUAUCUUCCACGGGUUCUAAAGAGGCUAGUGGAAAUGUGCAUUCUGGGGCACCUCCUCCUUGGCUUGAAGCAGAUGAAGAAAUUCAGUUUACUGUUCCAUUGAAACCAGCUUCAGGUACCCGUAUCUCUCCGUCAAAUAAGUCGGGGAAGUCCAAGAAAUUGAACCCAAAACGAGUGGGAGCAGCUUGGGCAGAAAGAAGAAAGAGGGAGAUGGAGAUGGAGAAAAGAGGGGAGAUUGUCAAGAGUGACUGUGAUGCUAAUUGGCUCCCUAAUUUUGGUAGAGUGUGGCAAUCUGGUAGCCGAAAAGAGUCCAGAAAAGAAUUUGAGUUGGAGAAACAAAAAUUGCCUAAGGUUGAAAGUGAAUUUGAGAUGCCAAUUAAGAUACAGCCUUAUGUCAGCAAACGGAUGCGAACAAAUGAGAGUGAAUGAUUGUGCCAUGAUGGUUAUGCAAGUUGAUGAUAGCUCUGAUGACAGCUGAGCUGGAAUUUUGAAGGAAGGCAGGAAGCAAACACGUGAAACUCUGCCCAAAAUUGGAUGAUCAGUUUUUAGGCUGGUGUACAAAAUAGAGUUGGCAAAAAUUUGUAGAGUUUGAUUGGCCUGUGAUCCUAAAGUUCCAUAAUCUCCCUUUCGAAGAAAUUAAGUUCUCAUCACACAGAAA